GUUAAGCGACUAAGCGUACACGGUGGAUGCCCUGGCAGUCAGAGGCGAUGAAGGACGUGCUAAUCUGCGAUAAGCGUCGGUAAGGUGAUAUGAACCGUUAUAACCGGCGAUUUCCGAAUGGGGAAACCCAGUGUGAUUCGUCACACUAUCAUUAACUGAAUCCAUAGGUUAAUGAGGCGAACCGGGGGAACUGAAACAUCUAAGUACCCCGAGGAAAAGAAAUCAACCGAGAUUCCCCCAGUAGCGGCGAGCGAACGGGGAGGAGCCCAGAGCCUGAAUCAGUGUGUGUGUUAGUGGAAGCGUCUGGAAAGGCGCGCGAUACAGGGUGACAGCCCCGUACACAAAAAUGCACAUGCUGUGAGCUCGAUGAGUAGGGCGGGACACGUGGUAUCCUGUCUGAAUAUGGGGGGACCAUCCUCCAAGGCUAAAUACUCCUGACUGACCGAUAGUGAACCAGUACCGUGAGGGAAAGGCGAAAAGAACCCCGGCGAGGGGAGUGAAAAAGAACCUGAAACCGUGUACGUACAAGCAGUGGGAGCACGCUUAGGCGUGUGACUGCGUACCUUUUGUAUAAUGGGUCAGCGACUUAUAUUCUGUAGCAAGGUUAACCGAAUAGGGGAGCCGAAGGGAAACCGAGUCUUAACUGGGCGUUAAGUUGCAGGGUAUAGACCCGAAACCCGGUGAUCUAGCCAUGGGCAGGUUGAAGGUUGGGUAACACUAACUGGAGGACCGAACCGACUAAUGUUGAAAAAUUAGCGGAUGACUUGUGGCUGGGGGUGAAAGGCCAAUCAAACCGGGAGAUAGCUGGUUCUCCCCGAAAGCUAUUUAGGUAGCGCCUCGUGAAUUCAUCUCCGGGGGUAGAGCACUGUUUCGGCAAGGGGGUCAUCCCGACUUACCAACCCGAUGCAAACUGCGAAUACCGGAGAAUGUUAUCACGGGAGACACACGGCGGGUGCUAACGUCCGUCGUGAAGAGGGAAACAACCCAGACCGCCAGCUAAGGUCCCAAAGUCAUGGUUAAGUGGGAAACGAUGUGGGAAGGCCCAGACAGCCAGGAUGUUGGCUUAGAAGCAGCCAUCAUUUAAAGAAAGCGUAAUAGCUCACUGGUCGAGUCGGCCUGCGCGGAAGAUGUAACGGGGCUAAACCAUGCACCGAAGCUGCGGCAGCGACACUGUGUGUUGUUGGGUAGGGGAGCGUUCUGUAAGCCUGCGAAGGUGUGCUGUGAGGCAUGCUGGAGGUAUCAGAAGUGCGAAUGCUGACAUAAGUAACGAUAAAGCGGGUGAAAAGCCCGCUCGCCGGAAGACCAAGGGUUCCUGUCCAACGUUAAUCGGGGCAGGGUGAGUCGACCCCUAAGGCGAGGCCGAAAGGCGUAGUCGAUGGGAAACAGGUUAAUAUUCCUGUACUUGGUGUUACUGCGAAGGGGGGACGGAGAAGGCUAUGUUGGCCGGGCGACGGUUGUCCCGGUUUAAGCGUGUAGGCUGGUUUUCCAGGCAAAUCCGGAAAAUCAAGGCUGAGGCGUGAUGACGAGGCACUACGGUGCUGAAGCAACAAAUGCCCUGCUUCCAGGAAAAGCCUCUAAGCAUCAGGUAACAUCAAAUCGUACCCCAAACCGACACAGGUGGUCAGGUAGAGAAUACCAAGGCGCUUGAGAGAACUCGGGUGAAGGAACUAGGCAAAAUGGUGCCGUAACUUCGGGAGAAGGCACGCUGAUACGUAGGUGAAGUCCCUCGCGGAUGGAGCUGAAAUCAGUCGAAGAUACCAGCUGGCUGCAACUGUUUAUUAAAAACACAGCACUGUGCAAACACGAAAGUGGACGUAUACGGUGUGACGCCUGCCCGGUGCCGGAAGGUUAAUUGAUGGGGUCAGCGCAAGCGAAGCUCUUGAUCGAAGCCCCGGUAAACGGCGGCCGUAACUAUAACGGUCCUAAGGUAGCGAAAUUCCUUGUCGGGUAAGUUCCGACCUGCACGAAUGGCGUAAUGAUGGCCAGGCUGUCUCCACCCGAGACUCAGUGAAAUUGAACUCGCUGUGAAGAUGCAGUGUACCCGCGGCAAGACGGAAAGACCCCGUGAACCUUUACUAUAGCUUGACACUGAACAUUGAGCCUUGAUGUGUAGGAUAGGUGGGAGGCUUUGAAGUGUGGACGCCAGUCUGCAUGGAGCCGACCUUGAAAUACCACCCUUUAAUGUUUGAUGUUCUAACGUUGACCCGUGAUCCGGGUUGCGGACAGUGUCUGGUGGGUAGUUUGACUGGGGCGGUCUCCUCCUAAAGAGUAACGGAGGAGCACGAAGGUUGGCUAAUCCUGGUCGGACAUCAGGAGGUUAGUGCAAUGGCAUAAGCCAGCUUGACUGCGAGCGUGACGGCGCGAGCAGGUGCGAAAGCAGGUCAUAGUGAUCCGGUGGUUCUGAAUGGAAGGGCCAUCGCUCAACGGAUAAAAGGUACUCCGGGGAUAACAGGCUGAUACCGCCCAAGAGUUCAUAUCGACGGCGGUGUUUGGCACCUCGAUGUCGGCUCAUCACAUCCUGGGGCUGAAGUAGGUCCCAAGGGUAUGGCUGUUCGCCAUUUAAAGUGGUACGCGAGCUGGGUUUAGAACGUCGUGAGACAGUUCGGUCCCUAUCUGCCGUGGGCGCUGGAGAAUUGAGGGGGGCUGCUCCUAGUACGAGAGGACCGGAGUGGACGCAUCACUGGUGUUCGGGUUGUCAUGCCAAUGGCACUGCCCGGUAGCUAAAUGCGGAAGAGAUAAGUGCUGAAAGCAUCUAAGCACGAAACUUGCC
rnacentral:rRNA from 1 species